UUAUGGGGGGAGGGGGGGUUAUUCCUGCAAUGCAGCAGAUAAUACUCCACUCUGAGACAGUGCUUACAGCUUAGCAGGCUUAGGCAAGAGCUAUGUAGCCUUUACUAGUUAAGGUAUAACUAGCUAAUCCUCAAGGCCUACAAGCUGCAUUAUGCAAGUUCCUGAAUUCAGGGGCCCCAAGACUUAAGCAAUUACUCUUACUUGCUCUGCAGUCAGGUCAGAUAAUGAUACCAUCUUCCAAGUUUUAGGAGUAACCUGACCAGCAAGAGCAGCCAGUGCUGAGGUUUGUUUUUGCCACUGUUUUGGUUAUAGUAGGGUAAGCUGGAUAACUCUGGUUCACAGAAGCCAAUUUUGCUCUCGCAGUAACAUGAGUUUUCAGGAAAAGAGUCAGGGUCUAGAUUAUUCCACAUAUCCCUUUUUCAUUUGGAUAGAGAAAUAUUGACAUUGAUUAUGUAAGUUGCUCUGAAUAGUUGACCUGUUGUAUCCCAGGUGACUGUCAUUGAAGUUAAAGGGCUGUCUGAGUGUGCAGAAAUCCAUCUGUCUAAAAUAGUUCUCAGGAUCUAUCUUCAAAAUAUUAGAUGAUUCACUGCAAAAACUACAAGAUAAAAAAAUAGCAAUAUUAACUUUAGAACCUAGCUAUCAGAAACAGAGGACCUACUCUUAAACACCAUUAGACUAGUAUCAUAUAUCCAGGUCAAGAGAAAGAAAAUUCCAAAUGUAUUUAUUACCCUCUAGAUCAAAGUUGAUGCACAAUGGGGGGUUUUGAUAGCAUUUUUUUUUUUUUUUUUUUGCUAUUAUUUCUACAUAUAUUUUGCUGGUAUAGAAGACUUAUAAAGAAGAAAGGGGAUUUCCAAUGUGUUCAGUGCUAUUGCUUUCCUCUGACACUUACCCAGGCUUACCACUAGUGUAUGACUCACCUAGUAUGGCAUCAAGUCCAUUAUCUGCAAGCAGAUGAUGCACUGGGAGGAGGUCAGUUCACCAUUAUCAGAACAAACCACUGCCGUUACUAUCUUGCUAGCACAAAGGAUGUGUUCAUCACCACCGUAGUAGUGGCAUAUCUAAGGAAACAUGAUAAUAACAUCUAUCCUUUCUUGGGGUUAAAAUGUCUAUGGGGAGCAUUUUACUAGGAACUCUUGAAGUGGGCUUUGAUUCUGCAUUUCUGUCUUACCUUACUUGUAAAACAGAAGAAAUUGUCUGUGUUUCAGUGCAGGUGCCAGAAUUCCCUGGAACAAGAGUAAACUCUAACAAAUCAGGUGUACUCACCUGGUCUAACCACCAGUAUAUGAAAGGGCCAUGCAUGCAAUCAUGAUGCUAUAGACUUAUCUUUGGUUUUAGGCCUUAUGGAAGCAUGUAUGUUUACUUUCCCUGAGAGACCUACUGCUCUUAAUCAGUUCAGUCUACUGGGAAUGUGAAAGUAAGUGGUGAUCAAUUAGGAAAACUGGCAAUUCUGUCAUGUGAAGUGGCUCAUCACAACGGUGCUCAGAAAGAGGCACAUUUGGGACAAGAUGAAGUACCUCAAUGACCAUUUUAAAUAAAAAUUUUCUUGUAAACACAUGAUUUCCUGUACAUAUACUGAUUUGAAAAUCCAAAAGUAAUGUGAGAAGUUCUCCCUGUUUUUAUAGCAUAUGAUAAUAGCCAGCUCUGGUAAUGCAGUGGCAAGAUGCUUUGUAAAUAACCAGAUAUGUUCUCUUUACCAGCAUUGAUUCCAUUGCACAUGAGGAAUGAGACCUGGCCUUGCACUGGUCAUACCUGCUUGCAACUACUAGCUCAAUAGACCUUGUCAUGAAUUCAUCAACAGCAAUGAGUGAUCACCACAGAAAUCAUCUAUCAUCUUCUAGAUUUGGGGUAACCUGUCAGUCUAACUGUUUGUUCCCAGGCCCCCUGUAAAAUGCUGUAACAUCUACCGCAAAUGACCUGUGAUGUGGAACCACUAUCAGCUUAUUUUCUCUAGUGGUUAUAUAAAAGGCUUUGUUUGCAUGUCAUUAAGCUCCAAGAUACUCACCAGAGGUAGUUUAAAACAUUCAUUCUCUAAAUUUUUUUUAAGGCCAGUACAGUUCCGCUUCAUAGUGCUAACUGUAGAAGACCCCUGAGGAUGAUCUCUUUGAAUCCUUGCAGCAUUUAAUGGGAGAAAACCCAUAUGUGCCUUAGGAUUUCUGUUUUCUAUUGGAACAACAUUCAGACUGUGCCAGGUGCAGGCACCCAAAAGACAGAGGACAUAGGCCUGUUCUUACAGUAGCAAAUAUCUCGGUUAGUCUGACACAGUGCUUAGAAGGUUUGAGAAUUGUUGGCUUGAGCUUUUCUGCUUACUAACCACAUCAUUUACUGUCAGCGAAGAAUGACAGAGAAAACAGGGUUGCCCUUAACACUUUAUUCAGUAAGAAUGAGCUGUUAAGCAUUCAUUACUUCCUGCUGAUUAUAAAGAUAAGUCAGAGAAUUACACUUAGUGUCAUGACCCUCACGCAGCAAUCCUAUCUUGUCUUGCCUUGCUCGUCAAGUGUUUGUGUGCAAGCAGGAUGAAAACUGCUUUCAGGGCAGAGGUGAGUGACUCAGGGUUGAGUCAGAAAGCAGAAAAACAGAAGGUGAGGGAAUAGGAAGAUGAGCAAAGGUCAUUGCAUUCCUUCAAACACCACUGAUGGUGCAGGAACACUGUCCUAAGCCUCAUCGUUCGAGGUUGCCUGUGGUCACUGACUUUUUGUGGAGCCUUUCCCCAGCUCUUCUGGCUCUGUCCUAUAGUCCCCAUCUCCCAUUCUGUCUCAGAAGUAGACAAGAACUCAUCUUUCCAUUUCACAGUCCAGAUAGGGAAGGGGGAGAAAGCAUUGCGGAAGACCUCCGAGGCUUGCUGAUUAGUUAAAUCCUUUUAUUGGUUCUCUUUCUGCUGUUUUAGACAGGAAAGUCUGUUUACUACUAUUAUUCAACAAGUUUUGCCAUGCUGCUUAAAUUUUGUUGAUCAUGUUGCUGUUUAAUAUGGUAUAUUACUUUUGUAUGAAAGUGCUGCUUAGAGAUGAGUAAGAAAUGAAUAAUAAGAAAGACAAAAUUUAAUUCAUUAGGCUUCUGCCUUGGAAAUUCAAAGUUUUGAUGGGGAAUAUAUGGGAAAAGAGUGGUUUGCCCUUGAUAUGGGUAAUAUAUGAGAGUAGAGCAAUAAACCUCAUUAGGGUAGGAAUACAUUUUAAUGAGCUUGUGAUGUGGCAGCUUAUCAGACUGGAUUGAGUUCUGACUGAAAAGACAGAACAGAAGAAAAUAAUACCUUUAAUAGGAAAGCUAUUGUGCGAAAUUGGUACAGUUUAGAACACUGGUGUAAGGUUAAUUAAAAUAAUAAUGUUAUUUUAGUAAAGGUAUUAAUCAGAUUAUCUUAAGUGCUGUAAUAUAGUACCCUAAUGUGACUGACUAGAAAUAUAUAGGCUAGUUGCAGUGAAGAUAGAGUUAAGAAAUGGCUUUUAGAAAUUUUCCUAGGAUUGCUGCUCAUUUUGUUCUUGACAUAGCAGGGUUGUGAAUAAGAGAAUGUUUUACUGACUUGGGAAGACAACUUUUUUUAUCCUUUAAAACACACAAACUACAUAGAAUAAAGCUGAUUAGCUAUCAAACCUGACAUCUGAAUGGUAUGUAUUAGUCCCUUUCCAGCUGGUAGCUGGAAGCUGGCCAAUGAGAGCAUGUCUUGAAUCGUGCUCACUAGUGAUUUGAGAGACUGACUUGCAAAAGAGAUGACCUAUCUGGUAGCAUGGGAAUAGAUUUGUCAUAAUUCGUGCAAAGUAGAAACCAGGAAUGAGUUAUGAGCCUUGGGCAUUUUGCACUCUCGAAGAAGAAGCCUUCUUACUGUAUCAAAGAUAAGCCAUACUCCAUCCUUUUUUUUUUUCUAAGAGGAAUUAAACAAAUCAUUCUAACAGAGGGAAAAAUUCCUGUAUGCUUAAGAACUAUUAGCCAUUAUAUAUUUAUUAGUAGCUGAUCAACAGUUUGUAAAAGCAUUUCUUGUACUCGGGAAUUGGAAGCAGAACAUGAUGAUGAAAAAGAUGCUUGGUAAGCAACCAGUCUACAGAGACUAGCAAUCUCACUGAGUAAGCCUAGAUAAAUGUAUCUUGCUUAGAAUCAAUGCUCCUUCCUGACCUUCUCUUCCAUCCUCUCUGCCACCAGCUUCAGCUGUUGACAGAGCCUUGACUAAAGAUGGCUGAGAGCUGUAAGCAAACCUGGAGCUUGUGCCUGGAAGUGUGGGGAAAGAUAUAAAGCUCUGAUUUGCCAUAAAAUAGUACUUUAGGAAAUGAACUCAUAGCAGUUAAGAUUAAUGAACUCUUAUGGGAUGACGGAAAUAGGGAGCUAAGCGAAGGUACAGAUAAACUAACUAGACAGUAGAGCAUCUAGUCUGGGUCAGUAGAAUGAUUAGAGGCAAUUGCCUCUUCAGUGAUUGUAGCCAUAAUGUUGCUGGCCACAAGCAUAUCUUACGUGCUAAUGGCUGAAGAUCUGAUAUGAUGACAGAGUUAUGUCCACCAGCCUCUCUAGCUCUAUUUCCUGCAAGGUGUCAGGUGCAAAUUCAGGCACAUGUUGAGAUCAUAAAACUGGAGUCUUCCUGGAGGAUCUACCUGAACCAUUGUCAGGAUGGCAUUGGUGUCGUGACAUGUAAAGGAGAAAACUGUGUCUUGAGCAGUAGGUAGUAUGAUUUUCGAAGCAGAAAUAUUUGGUAAGAGGAAAGAUCACCCUUAGUGACCAUGGGUAUGGCUAUUUAAGAGGUUUGGAGCUAGUAAACUAGUAUGUAUCUGCACUGAAUACAAUUGCUUGUAGAAUCACAUUUACCUUAUAGUGUAGAAUCACAUUUACCUUAUAGUGUAGAAUCACAUUUACCUUAUAGUGUAGAAUCACAUUUACCUUAUAGUGUAGAAUCACAUGCUAUAUAGUAUGUAGGAAAACAGGACAAAGCAAUCUGAAUCUAUGGUCAAAGACUAAUGUACAUAAAGUAGUCCUAGUGCCAUAAUAAAUCUUUUAUGAGAUGAACUGAAGUAACUGACUAUUAUUAGUCCAUUCACUGCAGUCAUAAAAUUCAACAGACAACAGUAAGUAAAAUAAGUAUACUUGUAUGUAGCACAAGAAAGUCAAAUUAAUUUUAGAAAUUAAAAACAUUUGCCUCGUUUUGAAAUAAAGCACAUAAAAGAUUAUAUUCUGGCAGAAAUGAAGAAGGAAACUAUGAUGAAAGUCUGUAGAAGGGGAAUAUCUGGAAAAAAACUAUUUGUGAAAUGAAUAAAAAUCUGAUCCAUUUCUUUCUGAUGCAGAGGGAGUCUCCUCAUAAUUUUUAUAAGCUUUUGAUUAAGACUUAAAUAUAGAAGCCUCUGGUUUGGGACACCUUUCCUUUAAUUAGAGGGAAAAAAAAAAAGAGGGGGGAAAAAUGAAACAAUUUGAGUCCAGAAGAUAGCAAUGUCAAAGAUCAAUAAGACACACUCUAUCAAGAAAGGUUAUAGAAACUGAGUUUUUUUUUAGUCUAGAGAGGACAGAGCAGUUAUGGUAACAGUAUUCAAACAUUCAGAAGUACUACAAGUGGAAUGUGUGAAGUGGAAAUUAUUCUUGAUCUUCUCUAUGGAUAGGAAGGGGAUAACAGACCUAAACUAUCUCAAGGGCAGUUCAGGUUAGAUAUCAGAAAAAAUGUCCUAACAGGUAAGUAGUAUGAAAGUCUACCUUUUAGUUUUUAGGAACUUCCAGCUGAGUGACAGAAUUCAAUCUGUGAAGAAUGACAGAUGGAAUAGUUGAUUGGAUCCGGAGGAAAGAGGAUGGACAACAUGACAUUCCAAGGUCUCUUCCAACCCUCAUUUUUAUGAUUUGUGAUAUAAUGAACUGUAACUAUAGACUAGACAAACAAAGGGAACUUUGGGAUUCAGUAUUAAUAGGCAGAGAUGAACAAUGGUUUUUCUUAUUAUAAUUUCCUGCAUCAUGUGCACUUUUCACAAAUUGUAUGCAAUAAAGUGCAAAUAUUUAUAAAAUGCUAUUUUAAAUAUUAGUGUAGAAAGGAAUGUCAAUAUGAAUAGCUUUGGUUUCUGUAUAAGAUAUAGUAUUAGUGCUGCUAUAAAUUUCAUAUAUAAUGACUUGAGUUUAUAACCUUCUUCCUUUCCUCCCCAGGAAUUCAGCUGUCUGUGAUCCAAGGCACAGCUACAUAACUUUUUCUUGGACUUCUGAGAAAAUUGCUAAUAACUGAGAGAGAGCUGUGAGAAAGUCCACAGAGUAGAAUUUUGAAAGAUAGGAAAAGUAAAAUUGCAGACCAAAGUAAGACUGAGAUGGAGGUAGGCAGCAGUUUAAGGAUUCAGGAGCAUUGUGGCUGAGCAUAUAGCAUUGCUCACAGACCAUGCAAUUGUCAUUUUCUGACUGGCUGAUAGUUCUCCGCCUAUAGGACAAUUCUAGUUGAUAGAAUGGUGGUCAAGCUGGCAAAUUUCUGUGCAAAGUCUUAUUCUUUUCCAGCACCAAUUAACAGGAGAGAGGCUGCUGAAACGGAACAGGAAUUCCCUAGGCAUUGUAAAUUAGAGUUGGUUCACAGUUGUUCUAACCUAAGCUAGGGCUGAAGGUCAUAAGGAAUCAUUACAGGAUUCCUGGAACUCUCUCCAUCAUUUUACACACUUUGAGCUCAUUGGAAAAUCCAUCAUUCCAUAUUUAAAGGAAACACAAGGAAAAAUUAAUUUAUGUCUUUCUCUGAUUGUAAUAUAUAAAGGCUUUCAGUUGUCUGUUUGAUUCCUUUCUUGUUUGCUAUUUUUAUUGAUAAGCAUUAAGAAAAGAUUAGUCUUUCCUGGUAUUGUUAAAAAUUAUCUGAAGGUAUCAUGCCAUCAUUUCACAAUGUGUUGGCUCUGGUGUGAAAACUGUCUUAAAUUUUCUGUGUCAAUCAUCUGUUCUGAUAUCAUGCAUUAGUUUGCCACCCCCUUCAGUGUCCUGCUUCAAAUAAAAAUUAUGUGGAACUAAUGUGUUAUCUGUGCAAUAAGUUUCUCUCAACGCAGGUUCUUUUCUGUAACUAGUUGGAACUUCAACAGAGAACGAGAUCCCUAUUUUUCCAAGACCCUUUUCUGCCAUUUAUGAUCAGUUUGUCCAUAAAAUUUAGGGCACGUUGACAUAUAGAAGGGGUUUACAUGAGCAAGUUUAGAUCAGUAAAUGCAUAAAAAAUAGUAAUUAUUAAUAAUAAUUAAUAGUGAGUUAUAAUACAAAAUGUAUUGCCUAAGUAACAGUUUGCAGUCCAAAAAAUUUGUUAUAAUCAUGCAAAAUACAAGUUAAACACUUCUGUGAAGAACAGGAUAUACCAACAGGAUACGUGAAUGGUCUGAAAGCUAUGACUUAACGAAGGAUUUAAGGUUCAUCAUAGUUUAUUGUUACAGUACAAUCUCUCAUUGCAGUGAUGUGCCCAAGAGAGAUGAUUCAAACCAUGGAUUUAUAUCAAGUAUGAGAAGGGAAUUAAUUGUGCCUCAGUUUACAGCAUUACAAUCUCAGCAGAAUAUUUCAAGGGAUCUAAUGGUCAUCUUUCAAAAAUUCAAAAAGUUCUUAUGCUCAAAGGCCUAAAACAAUCUAUGAGUAUAAUUCAGGACCUGUAAAACUGUCAGGCAAAAAGAAAUUGGCUACUACCUUACAGAAGAGAAGGUUGAGUAAGCCUUCUGAAUAUUUACCAGUAUUUUCACAUCAAAAAGAUACCUGACAAAGGUUCUCAAAAUAAUAAUAUCCAAGAGAGAUUGUUCCAGCUUGAACGAAACAAUUUCCAUGAAGGGAAAUGGAGCAUAGAAGUAGCUAGCCCGUGGGUAUGAUGAACUCAUGAACAAUUGCAAUUUUUAAAGUGACACUAGAUUUUUUUUUUUUCCUCUCAUAUAUGCUUUAAUCUGGAGAAGACCAUCUUUCCUGAUCCUGACAAGAAUACUUACAUUAGGAGGAACGUGACCAGCAGAUUGAAGGAAGUGAUCCUUCCCCUCUGCUCAGCACUGGCGAGGACACACUGGAGUACUGUAUCCAGUUCUAGGCUCAGCAGUACGAGAGAGAUACGGAGCUACUGGAGCGAGUCCAGCAAAGGGCUGCUAAGAUGAUUAGGGACUAGAGCAUCUCUGAUACGAGGAAAAGCUGAGAGAACUGGGACUGUUUAGCCUGGAGAUGAGAAGACUGAGGAAGGAUCUUAUCAAUACGUAUAAAUAUCUGAAGGGCGGGUGUAAAGAGAAUGAGGUCAGACUAUUUUCAGUGGUGUCUGGUGACAGGAUAAGAGGCAACAGCACAAACUGAAAUGGGAAGUUCUGUCUGAAUAUGAGGAAAAACUUUACUGAGAGGGUGACUGAGCACUGGGACACAUUGCCCGGAGAGGUUAUAGAGUCUCCAUCCUUGGAGAUACUCAGAAGCUGUGUGGACACAGUCAUGGACAGCCUGCUCUAGGUGACCCUGCUUAAGCAGGGGAGAUGACCUCCAGAGGUCCCUUCCAGCCUCAAACAUUCUGUGCUAGAUGGGUCAUGUUUUUCAUGAUUAGGAUUGGAAGAAGGGAAAAGAAACAAAAGAGCAAAGCACUCCUUUUGUGUUGUUUGGUUUCAUUCUCACUGCAUAUUCAAGAAUGGAUUCUCCCUUAAGUGUUACCCUUACCUGGAGCAUUCAGU